rnacentral:tRNA from 1 species
GCCUGGGUGGCUCAGUCGGUUCAGCAUCUGACUUUGGCUCAGGUCAUGAUCUGGCAGUUUGUGAGUUCGAGCCCCACGUCGGGCU